rnacentral:lncRNA from 1 species
GCAGACGGCGGAGAGCAGAGAGGGAGCGCGCCUUGGCUCGCUGGCCUUGGCGGCGGCUCCUCAGGAGAGCUGGGGCGCCCACGAGAGGAUCCCUCACCCGGGUCUCUCCUCAGGGAUGACAUCAUCCGUCCACCUCCUUGUCUUCAAGGACCACCUCCUCUCCAUGCUGAGCUGCUGCCAAGGGGCCUGCUGCCCAUCUACACCUCACGAGGGCACUAGGAGCACGGUUUCCUGGAUCCCACCAACAUACAAAGCAGCCACUCACUGACCCCCAGGACCAGGAUGGCAAAGGAUGAAGAGGACCGGAACUGACCAGCCAGCUGUCCCUCUUACCUAAAGACUUAAACCAAUGCCCUAGUGAGGGGGCAUUGGGCAUUAAGCCCUGACCUUUGCUAUGCUCAUACUUUGACUCUAUGAGUACUUUCCUAUAAGUCUUUGCUUGUGUUCACCUGCUAGCAAACUGGAGUGUUUCCCUCCCCAAGGGGGUGUCAGUCUUUGUCGACUGACUCUGUCAUCACCCUUAUGAUGUCCUGAAUGGAAGGAUCCCUUUGGGAAAUUCUCAGGAGGGGGACCUGGGCCAAGGGCUUGGCCAGCAUCCUGCUGGCAACUCCAAGGCCCUGGGUGGGCUUCUGGAAUGAGCAUGCUACUGAAUCACCAAAGGCACGCCCGACCUCUCUGAAGAUCUUCCUAUCCUUUUCUGGGGGAAUGGGGUCGAUGAGAGCAACCUCCUAGGGUUGUUGUGAGAAUUAAAUGAGAUAAAAGAGGCCUCAGGCAGGAUCUGGCAUAGAGGAGGUGAUCAGCAAAUGUUUGUUGAAAAGGUUUGACAGGUCAGUCCCUUCCCACCCCUCUUGCUUGUCUUACUUGUCUUAUUUAUUCUCCAACAGCACUCCAGGCAGCCCUUGUCCACGGGCUCUCCUUGCAUCAGAGACUGGCAGGAGCUUUUACCAGUGGUUUUUACAUCCUUAAUGUUCAGGACGAAUAAUUUAUGGUCAGUGAAAAUCCAGGCCCCAGUGAGAUUCGAGUGGGCUGUAAAAUCGAGAGUCCUGCUCCCAGUGAGUAAUGGUAGUGAAUGUUUCUGUCACUUUUUGCAACCGUCCAUUCAUUUGAUCCUCACAACUCCCUGUCCUGAGCCAGGACCGGCCACUGCCACUCCCAGGGAAACAGAGGCUGUCAAGAGGCUCCACAGAUUGGGCCCCACUGGAUCAUUGAACCCCUGUUCCCUGAGUUCUAGAGGAAGAAUUGUACCUGUCUCAGUCCCGGCCACCUCCAGAAGGCCUCCCUCUGCAUUUCUGACUUUGCUGUGCCGGCAGCCUGGAGCCUCCCAGGUCCCUGCUGUCAUCUUUUCUAGCCACUACAGUCUCUGUCUUUCCUUUCACAGCCAAGCUUCUUGAAAGGCCUGUCUACACUUGCUGUCUUCCUUCCUCACCUCCAAUUUCCUCUUCAACCCACUGCUUCCUGACUCGCUCUACUCCGUGGAAGCACGCUCACAAAGUUCCUGACCUGGCCAUCCCGGGGUGCCCUUGACCAGCCCCGUGUCUCCUCAGGGUGUCCCAGCACCAGCCUGGCACAGAGUGGGGCUCAGUUAGAGUAUGUGGGAUGUUGGUUUCGCCAGGUGAGUGAAUGAAAGGACUCGACCACCACAGCUGAGCCACUAGCUGGGCCAUGCGAAGAGUUCUAGGUGCAAAGGCUGGAGGGUGGAAUUCAUUUUUGAGAGGUGUGUGAGCAGCUUCCGACCCCUGCCCCAUUUGAACGGGGGCCUUGCUGGUCGCGUCCCUGCAUUCACCCGCGCGGCCAUCCCGUCAUCCAACAGUUGAUCCUAACUGAGCACGCCCACGGCCCUGGUCUGGCCUGGGCACCGGCCACCGUAGCCCAUCCCUUGAUGGCCUCUGUGUCCCCAGGAGGGCGGGCCGGGGGGUUGCCCAGGGGCUGGAGCAGUGGACUGUGGCUCCAUAGAGGUAGGCCGGAGGGUGUGAGGGCAGAUUCAAGCUAUCCCCAGGGCUCUGCUCUGGUCGGAGCCAGCCCCUUCUCCCUCUCUGCCUUCCCCGCCCCAUUCCUGAUGCUGAACUGUUCUGGACCCCUGGCCCUGAGUCUCUCAGGACCAAAGUGGGCACGGGAACAGCUGUAGUGUGUGCCCCCCCGGGCUUUGGCCACAGGUCUCCCUCUCGAGGUGUGGUUGUGACUGCGACCCUUCCCUUGCCGUGAUGCCUUCCUCCCCCGGGGCUUGGUCCAGCUCCUUCACUCUCUAGCAGCUGCUGGGGCCCACCUCCCAUGCCGAGGACCAGCAGGGGAAACCUCCAGGGAGCAUCUGCAGGCUCUGCUUCUGCCCGGCUGCUGGCUUGCUCUCCCUGGUGGCUCUCCAGCGGCCAGCUUCCUCACCCACCCGGCACUCCGCUUUGCUCUGUCUCCUGAGGUGGGCCUGACCAACCUCCCCUUCUCUGCCUCAGUCCCUGGGCUCCAGGGCUCAGCUCCACAGCCCUCUGCCUAGCAGGCUGGUUCUCCCUGCCAAGCCCAUACCUGUGGUCACCUGGCCCUCCUGUGGUCUGAGUACCACUCCCCUGCCCCAGGAGCCACUCCCACUCCAGCUGCCUGUUUCCAGCAGGUUCCCAGUGCCCCCGACAAGCCCCUGCUGGUGUCUCCAUCUCCUGCCAAGCAUCCUCCAGUGCCUCCUCCUGUGGGCCUGGCCUCAGGGCUAUGGACAGACUCCUGUCCCAUCCCAGAGACCCCUCGUGAUCGUGCCCUGUAGUCACCCCACUCCACCGAAAAGUAAACUGCAGGCACGUGGGCCGUGGCCCGGCUGGGUCGGCUGAAGAACUGCGGAUGGAAGCUGCGGAAGAGGCCCUGAUGGGGCCCACCAUCCCGGACCCAAGUCUUCUUCCUGGCGGGCCUCUCGUCUCCUUCCUGGUUUGGGCGGAAGCCAUCACCUGGAUGCCUACGUGGGAAGGGACCUCGAAUGUGGGACCCCAGCCCCUCUCCAGCUCGAAAUCCCUCCACAGCCACGGGGACACCCUGCACCUAUUCCCACGGGACAGGCUGGACCCAGAGACUCUGGACCCGGGGCCUCCCCUUGAGUAGAGACCCGCCCUCUGACUGAUGGACGCCGCUGACCUGGGGUCAGACCCGUGGGCUGGACCCCUGCCCACCCCGCAGGAACCCUGAGGCCUAGGGGAGCUGUUGAGCCUUCAGUGUCUGCAUGUGGGAAGUGGGCUCCUUCACCUACCUCACAGGGCUGUUGUGAGGGGCGCUGUGAUGCGGUUCCAAAGCACAGGGCUUGGCGCACCCCACUGUGCUCUCAAUAAAUGUGUUUCCUGUCUUAACAAAAACUGAUGGAUGUGCUACUAAUA